AGUGAACGCUGGCGGUAGGCCUAACACAUGCAAGUCGAACGGCAGCACAGUAAGAGCUUGCUCUUACGGGUGGCGCGUGGCGGACGGGUGAGGAAUACAUCGGAAUCUACUUUUUCGUGGGGGAUAACGUAGGGAAACUUACGCUAAUACCGCAUACGACCUACGGGUGAAAGCAGGGGAUCUUCGGACCUUGCGCGAUUGAAUGAGCCGAUGUCGGAUUAGCUAGUUGGCGGGGUAAAGGCCCACCAAGGCGACGAUCCGUAGCUGGUCUGAGAGGAUGAUCAGCAACACUGGAACUGGAACACGGUCAAGACUCCUACGGGAGGCAGCAGUGGGGAAUAUUGGACAAUGGGCGCAAGCCUGAUCCAGCCAUACCGCGUGGGUGAAGAAGGCCUUCGGGUUGUAAAGCCCUUUUGUUGGGAAAGAAAAGCAGCAGGUUAAUACCCCGCUGUUCUGACGGUACCCAAAGAAUAAGCACCGGCUAACUUCGUG
rnacentral:rRNA from 1 species